CUAAUCAGCACUCUGUGUAUAUGCAGUCUUAUCUUCCCUCUAUCAAGACAUCUUUUGAUGUGCCUGCCCUAUGUUGACCUCUUUGUUUUUGUGGAUUUUGUUCUCAUUUGGACUUCAUUUCAUUGGCCAUCAAAGCCUGCUAUUUGUUGGGGCUUUCUGACUUCUGCCUCCUACAUGUGGGUCCUUAUUCCUGCUCAUUGCGAUACAUACAAAGGUCAUAACAAGAAGAACAGAUUGUAAUGGAUCUUGUUUCCUUGAACCGAUGAAGCCAAGGGGUGUACUACGAAGUGAGACUGGUGGGUUAUUGAGCAACGUUGAGUUUAAGCUUGAGUUAAAUAUGUUUCCUUGUGUGACGUGGCAGACUGCAGAUGGGACUCACCCGCUCCAGCUGGAUGUAGAACGUCUGGUCCCAGCUCAGCCUGCUGAUGGCUGCCCAGCGCGUCCGGCCGACCACUCUGCCGUCCAGCCUGAGCACGCCACUGAUCUCUGCGCUGUGAAGCACAAAAUCACCCCGAGUGAGACCCGAUCUGAAUGCUCGCUGCAUACAGAGCAACUCCAGGAUUUGUCUCCUCGUUACAUCAUCAUCAUGAGGCUUUUUUUUUUUUUUUUUUUGCCUUUUUAGCCUCCAGCAGGGAGAGAUGGGCUUACAAGUGAACUGUCCAAAACCAGCAGAUUACAUGUCUGAUUAUCCACUGCCAGAGGUCAGCGUAUGGUUAGCCAUGUUCCAACACUGGGCAGGCAUGGUGCCGCUAGAAAGAGCUAUGUGUUAGAGAGAAAAAAACAUAAAGCUUUCUUUGAGAUGUAGGUGUUUGAGCAAAUUAAUGUUAGGAGAGAUUUUUAAAGAUCAGUAAUAAUUUCACACAGAUUUCCUGGGAAUAACUACUUAAAAAUAGUGUUAAUUAGUACACUUGCAAUUAGUUAAAUCCAGUUAUUUUCCAGUCUUCUGAAUGUACUAACACAUGAAAUGUGUCUAUAAUUAAACAUAUGAUUCUGUAAUAAGUGAAUGAUUUGUGUUUAAAGAGAGCAGUUCCUUCAUGAAAUUCACUUUUCUCUGUAAGCUUGUUUGUUAGUUUCUUCCAGAAGCAGGAGGUUAUUAUGGAGAUAAAGAAAAUAAAAUAAGAAGCUACUCUGAAUAAUCCCUUAAAACGUGAAAAUCAGGUCUGUCUCUUAAUCUCCAAAUGACUGAGUGGGUUCAUUUAUGCAUGUAUUUUGUUUUUAACAUUAUUUUAUUGUCAUUUUCCACUUCUGAUCACCACAUUAUGUUUAGUAGUGAACCAUGGCCAACAGACUAUAAUAAAGAUUAAAAACAACCUGAUUAUGAUAACUUUGGUAAGAACAGAAUGACCAGACUGCACCGAGCUGGUGUGGAGGCAACAGUGACUCGUUACGCUGGUGAGCUAAGCACAGGAAACUGAGGCUACGGUUCACAGAGGCUCACCAAACUUGGACAACAUAAGAUUGGAACAACGUUUCCUGGUCUGCUGUAUGAGUAGAUGGUGGGAUCAGAAUCUGACAUAAACAAGAAUUGUAUUGAUGGUUUAGGC
ensembl:lncRNA